AGUGUUAAGUAGAAGCCAUCCGCUUCUCACCUUACGCCAAAGGUAGUAAGGUUAUUGCAAUAAGUUCUGAAUGUUUGCGGAUGGAGUCUGUCCAUCCGCUUUUGUUUUGUAAU
rfam:Thermobrachium celere DSM 8682 genomic scaffold, scaffold33